GCGGAGAACGGGAGAAAGACGUGCCUGAAGCUGAAAGUGUUCGUCAGACCAUCAAACAGCUGUGUGAAAACUAUAGGGGGUCACGAUUCACGGGUUUUUGACGUUAACGAGAGAGUAGACAAUUCAUUAGAACCCAGAGAUGACACGUCACACGAGUCAGCUGAGCCCCACAGCGACACGACGAGUGCGGCCGGCGAAACGCGAAGAGCUGCAUCCCUCCUCGGCACCUUCCUCCUCUGUCUCCCUGCCCUGCUGAUGUUAUAGCGCCCCCGUCCACACACACGCACGCACACACACACACACACACACACACACACACACACACACACACACACACACACACACACACACACACACAGAAGCAGCCCCCACCGGAGAAGAAAACCAAGAGCGUGAAUCUCUCCAGGGACAAUUUUUUUUUUUCUUUGUGUUUUUAUGAAAAAAAAAAAUAUUUAAUUUGUCUCUCUCAGUCUGCAACAGUCUCAAAAUAAAUAAAACGAAAGAGGAACACAGGAUGAAGACGAAACAGCAACAUGAAUAUUACCCCACCCCUCAGUUCAUUUGUAAAAGACUGAAACAGACUAAGCCAAAAUAUCUGUUUGUAUAUUUGAUAUCUGGUUAGGAGGAUAUAGGGGGAGGCACUGAUGCGAUACUGUGUGUGGAAUGGGUUUAGGAAGGAAUUACACUACAUUCUGAAGACUGUAACGGAGCGUAGCGUGGGUAAAGAAGGAACUCUAGAACAUAGAACAUUCUAGAAUGUGUAUGGCAAUCAGUAGCUCUGAGGGAAAUCUCUCUGGCUAAGCUGGUAGUGUGUCUGUCUUUUCUGGGUUCUCUUUUUAAUAGUCUGCAGCAGUUCGUUAUCAGUCUGGUUAUGUUCUUUUCAAUUCAAAGUGCCCCCUGAGAUGAUGCCCUUAAACCCGCUUGAGUCCACUCCCUAAUCGUGUUGUUUCAAACGGGACUUUUGGUAACCUUAAUGAAUGUUUCAGUGAUUUUCCCUGAAACGGAAAAACCCCUACUGAUCCUAAGAACCUUAAAUUUUCCAGUCUCACUUGGCUCUACCCAGAAUCCAAUAUGUUUCCAUUUUAGAUUGAAAUAUUUCUCUUUAGCACCAACAAGACAGUGUUUUUUUGGACAAUAACUUCAACCAGUGUGUAGUCUUCAAUGGAAUCAUCUUCAGGUAACAUAUUGGUGUUCUGGCUGGCACCAUAUAGAUCGACAUGGCGCCUGAUAAAGGUUCCCCCUAACAGGAUUAAAGAGGAGAGCCUUCUUGUUUUUAUACAGACACUUGAACACAGGGGGUUUCUCUAGAGAGCUUGAGAUAGAACGAGGAAGAGUGUGUCAUGGCUUCUCUUUUCCUCUCCGCAUGAAUGCACAGUCAGCUCAUUCGGAAGUGCUUUUUGUAUUUUAUAGAGAAACCUACUGCUUCCACAGUAUCUAUUUAUCUAUUUUUCCUACCAGUCUUUUAUCAGUUGAUGAUAUCAAAAUGUAUGAAAUUAUGAUCCCAAAGUGGUGAUAAGCUCACGUGGUGUAUUUGGUCCAGUUUUCAAAUGUUCGUCAAACUUCCUGAUCAAAAGAAUUUCUUUAACCGA